rnacentral:rRNA from 1 species
GACGAACGCUGGCGGCGUGCCUAAUACAUGCAAGUCGAACGCUGAAGCUUGGUGCUUGCACCGAGCGGAUGAGUUGCGAACGGGUGAGUAACGCGUAGGUAACCUGCCUGGUAGCGGGGGAUAACUAUUGGAAACGAUAGCUAAUACCGCAUAAGAGUAGAUGUUGCAUGACAUUUGCUUAAAAGGUGCAAUUGCAUCACUACCAGAUGGACCUGCGUUGUAUUAGCUAGUUGGUGAGGUAACGGCUCACCAAGGCAACGAUACAUAGCCGACCUGAGAGGGGGAUCGGCCACACUGGGACUGAGACACGGCCCAGACUCCUACGGGAGGCAGCAGUAGGGAAUCUUCGGCAAUGGACGGAAGUCUGACCGAGCAACGCCGCGGGAGUGAAGAAGGGUUUCGGAUCGUAAAGCUCUGUUGUAAGAGAAGAACGAGUGUGAGAGUGGAAAGUUCACACUGUGACGGUAGCUGACCAGAAAGGGACGGCUAACUACGUG